rnacentral:rRNA from 1 species
CCUAGACCUGCAUCCGAUACGGGCUAGCUUGAGUUUGGUAGGGGAGACUGGAAUUCCUGGUGUAGCGGUGGAAUGCGCAGAUAUCAGGAGGAACACCAAUGGCGAAGGCAGGUCUCUGGGCCAAUACUGACACUGAGGAGCGAAAGUGUGGGGAGCGAACAGGAUUAGAUACCCUGGUAGUCCACACAGUAAACGAUGGGCACUAGUUGUGGGAACCUUCCACGGUUUCUGCGACGCAGCUAACGCAUUAAGUGCCCCGCCUGGGGAGUACGAUCGCAAGAUUAAAACUCAAAGGAAUUGACGGGGCCCCGCACAAGCAGCGGAGCAUGCGGCUUAAUUCGACGCAACGCGAAGAACCUUACCAAGGCUUGACAUAUACAGGAAUAUGGCAGAGAUGUCAUAGCCGCAAGGUCUGUAUACAGGUGGUGCAUGGUUGUCGUCAGCUCGUGUCGUGAGAUGUUGGGUUAAGUCCCGCAACGAGCGCAACCCUCGUUCUGUGUUGCCAGCAUUUAGUUGGGGACUCACAGGAGACUGCCGGGGUCAACUCGGAGGAAGGUGGGGAUGACGUCAAAUCAUCAUGCCCCUUAUGUCUUGGGCUGCACGCAUGCUACAAUGGCUGGUACAAAGGGCUGCAAUACUGCAAAGUGGAGC